rnacentral:tRNA from 1 species
AAGGAAUUAGUUAAAAAAUAACAUUAACUUGUCAGAUUAAAAUUACUAAACAUUAGUAUUCCUUA